GUAUCUUGUGAUUGUAAAUUUAUGUGUGUGAGGGGGAAUGUAGAAGGAGGAGAGAAUCAUAUAGAUAAUUAUUUCUGUUCUAUCCCACAGGAUUUAUUUUCCAUUUAGGGUCAUUUGGCCACCAGGAGAUGCCCAAGUCUCAAGCUGCAUAGUUUUGCCCCAGGCUCCACCCUAGCAAGGCUGAUUUUAGCCUCACCCUAAUUCCUUUCUGGGCUGGGAUGCUGCCAGGAUGGGCUGAACUCCAAGUAGCCAACCUACAACACUUCCCUACUGUUAAACUACCCACUUGGUUCCUGUCUGGUCUGAAUGAGACAGAGCACCGUAGCAGCCCAGGAAACCAAGAACAAAGAGCACAGCACCAGCCGCGAUGAGGAAGUAGCCCACGUUGACAAACUGCAUGGCACUGGACGACAGCGGCCCAAAGAUCUUCACAAAGGAUGGCCCAUCGACUGACACCCAGAUUCCCACAGCCAACAGGGCUGCACCACACAGCUGGGAACAGAGAAGUAAAACCAGGGGCUCAACGUCACAGUAACAAAGGAGGGCUGAAGUUUACACCUGCUACCAACCUUGAAGAGGGCUGAGGUGGAGAAGGUGCGCUCACCCUGAGCCUCUAGCUGGCUCCCCUUUGAGAUCAACUGCCAGGCCUGCUCCUCAUCUACCUAGACCUCUUUGCCUCACAAAUGGAAACACAGAGUGGGAAAGGUUCAUCAGCUCAACUCUAAUCCUCAGAGGGAGUCCUGAAGCUCUGAUGGGGGCAGGCCUGACUUAGUUUCCACACUCUUAGGGCAAGGCAAGGAUUGGGAGCAUAAACGGCCUGACACCAACGUGGUGCCUAGUUUCUACUUUCCAGUUACAGAAACCGAGGCUAGAAUUGGGCAUAUGGUAGCAAAUUGUGGCCAGAUCUCAGGUAUGUUUGCCUAAGACCAAAGCUGGCCUUUUAGCCUGUUGGAUCAAAUUUCAAGGAGCCUGCCGGUCUGCCCUACCCUGCUCUGGACAGCCUGGGUAGGCCUGGGCAACAGAGGCAGAAACCAAACAAGAUUUGCCUGUAACCCCUUCAGGACAGAAUCCCUGCUCUCCCUAUUUCUAGAACCCUAUCGCUCUCUCCAGACACGUGAAUAAAAGCUAAUUUCUUACAGCCAAAGGAAGCCCAAAGUACAGACCACACUAGAGUGAGAGUGCACUCCCCCAGUCUGAUCAGGCCAAAUCAUACUCCAAACCAGUGUACAUACUAUGCCUCUAUUCCUCACUUACUGUGGCUCCAAGUUCUUUGGUGACAUCCUGUGCUAAACCCAGUGAUCAUUUCAUGGGUCUUAUCUCCUGGACCUCUCUGCCAUCUUGCUUGUAUUUCCCCCUUCCCUUCUCUCUUACUGCUCCUCCAUUUCUUUCAUGGUAGCUAUUUUUUGCUCAUCCCUAAUAAUCCAAGUUUCCCAGGUUCACUUGCCUUGAGUGCCCUCACACACUGCCAUGGCAUCAAGGCCACCUAUGGGUACAUGACUUUCAAAUAUCCAUGGCCAGCUCCAGUCUGAGCUGCACCUCCAUUGGGUAACCAGCUGCCUAUGGGAUACCCCCUUCCAACUCCCUGUGUUACUCAUGCCAGAGACAGGAGCGCCAUCUCUAAGACCUCUGACUCUCUUGACACUUCUUGAGCUACAGCCCUGAGGUUUUGUCUAGUUUGUCCAUUUCUCCUUAUCUCCACCAUCUGCAGGGUUUACGCCUCACUGGCUGCUUUUCUAAUACGCCCUAUGUAAUCUGUUCCUGGUUUUCUGAGCAAUAUCAAAUUUCAUUACCUCUGAGUCUUUAUGCAUGUUUUAUAGCUCCCCCACCCAAUGCAAAUUCCCAGCUUCAGGUAUUUCCUCCAGGAAGUAUUCUCCCACUAGGCAGGGUUCAAGCUCCUCCUGUGGGUUCCCUUAACCCUCUGUUGAAACUGGGCAUACCAUGUUGCAAUUAGCUAUCUACUUGGCUUAUGGAUCUGAGAUCCUGGAAAGCAGCGACUGUCUUGCUAACCUGCUAUGCCAACACCUAGCACAGAGUUUUAAUUCCAUGACUGUU